rnacentral:rRNA from 1 species
UACGUAGGAUGCAAGCGGUGUCCGGAUUUAUUGGGUUUAAAGGGUGCGUGGGCGGCCUAUUAAGUUAGUGGUGAAAACGUUCGGCUUAACCGGAUACCCGCCAUUGAUACUGAUAGACUUGAGUGCGACAGAGGGUGUUGGAAUGUGUGGUGUAGCGGUGAAAUGCUUAGAUAUCACGCAGAACACCAAUUGCGAAGGCAGGUGCCUAUGUCGUAACUGACGCUGAGGCACGAAAGCGUGGGGAGCAAACAGG